rnacentral:tRNA from 1 species
GGCCGGCUAGCUCAGCUGGUUAGAGCGUGGUGCUAAUAACACCAAGGUCGUGGGUUCAAGCCCCAUGCUGGCCA